rnacentral:rRNA from 1 species
ACGCCGCGUGAGUGAUGAAGGUUUUCGGAUCGUAAAGCUCUGUUGCCAAGGAAGAACGGCCAGGGGAGUAACUGCCCCUGGAGUGACGGUACUUGAGAAGAAAGCCCCGGCUAACUACGUGCCAGCAGCCGCGGUAAUACGUAGGGGGCAAGCGUUGUCCGGAAUUAUUGGGCGUAAAGCGCGCGCAGGCGGUCUUUUAAGUCUGGUGUUUAAGCCCGGGGCUCAACCCCGGUUCGCACUGGAAACUGGGAGACUUGAGUGUAUGAGAGGAAAGUGGAAUUCCACGUGUAGCGGUGAAAUUGCGUANAGAUGUGGAGGAACACCAGUGGCGAAGGCGGCUUUCUGGCCUAUAACUGACGCGAGGCGCGAAAGCGUGGGGAGCAAACAGGAUUAAUACCUGGUAGUCACGCCGUAAACGAUGAAUGCUAGGUGUUAGGGGUU